CAAGCGUUAUCCGGAUUUAUUGGGUUUAAAGGGUGCGUAGGCGGCUUAUUAAGUCAGGGGUGAAAGACGGUAGCUUAACUAUCGCAGUGCCUUUGAUACUGAUGGGCUUGAAUACACUAGAGGUAGGCGGAAUGUGACAAGUAGCGGUGAAAUGCAUAGAUAUGUCACAGAACACCAAUUGCGAAGGCAGCUUACUAUGGUGCAAUUGACGCUGAGGCACGAAAGCGUGGGGAUCAAACAGG
rnacentral:rRNA from 1 species